rnacentral:rRNA from 1 species
UACGUAGGGGGCAAGCGUUGUCCGGAUUUAUUGGGCGUAAAGAGCGUGUAGGCGGCCUGGUAGGUCAGCUGUGAAAACUCGAGGCUCAACCUCGAGACGCCGGUUGAAACCAUCAGGCUAGAGUCCGGAAGAGGAGAGUGGAAUUCCCGGUGUAGCGGUGAAAUGCGCAGAUAUCGGGAGGAACACCAGUGGCGAAGGCGACUUCCUGGCCUGUUCUUGACGCUGAGGCGCGAAAGCUAGGGGAGCAAACGGG